rnacentral:sRNA from 1 species
UGCAGCCUGGAUUAUUGGCUCAAGAUCUAACAGCUUCAGUACAGACACAGCCCUGGAUCCCAGAAGUGAGACUUCAAGAGAUAAGCUACUUCUUAUAGGAAACAAAAUGACAAAGGUUAUCCAAAUUCUCAGAGUAUUGAGGCAUGGGUCUGGAUAAAGGUAAACCUGCAUUUUGUGUGAACUUCUCUGUACUAAAACUGAGGUAGGAUGUCUGAGGCAAAUAAAAGAAGCCCAAGUGUGCUCUUAAUAGACUUCAUGUCUCACUAGCCUCAACUGGAUAACAGUCUCCCGCAACUAACUCCCUGCAGCUCAGAUAACCUUUCUAAUGGGAACUUGAAAGAAGAAUUCCAGUUAAGAAUGGUUCAACUUAACUAACUGUUAAUUAUCCUUUAAGGACAAUAGGUGGUUCCAUCCCAUGAAGUAAAUCAGUUCUGCCAGGCACUUGCCCAGCUCAAGGCAUAGAGAAGUGAAAGCUUAUAGCCUCAUGCUUGCAUCAAAAUAUGCAUAAUCAGACAAGUAUUGUGACACGAACCCACUUCAUGUAGUGCAUGUCUUCAAAGGGUGAUGGAAAGAGAGAAGAGUAGCAGAGACUGCCCAUGGGAAGCCCUGGGGGACAGGCUCUACAGAGGACUUGUCACUUUCAAGAAGAAAAGAAAAAGGUUUGCCUGAUGAGUAAGGCAAGUAAGGCGGGCAAACAAUUCAGGCAGAGGGGCCAAUAUAUACAAAGUGGGGAAAGAAAGAAACGGAUCUAGUCUAAGCGACUGCUCAUCUGCUCAUAGCUCAGUCCAGCAUCAGUAGAGGUGUCAGCUUUAAAGGACGGACGAUGGUCAUGCCCAACAAGGACAUAUAACCAGGGACUGAUGAAGCCAAACCCCUUGGAGACAUUUGAGUAAGAACUGGGUUGUUUUAUUGCUUUGUUUUAAUUAAUUUGAAAAUCAUCGAUACUGUGCAAAUGGCAACUGACUCAUCAAAGAUCAAAAAUGGAGUCAGGAUCAUGAUAUGACUGGAAACCAGAUUGACUGAGAAACUGAGGUGGGAAUAGUUUGAAGAGAAGGAAACUUGAUGAACUGACUUCCAUGGCUAUGCUCCCAAAGGGCUUAUGUCCAUGUUCAGAAGAAAAUGAAAUGUGCUUUAUUUCUGGUAACUGUGGUUAAGAUCAGUCAGUAGAGGUUCAAGGGAAGCAGGUGUCAUUUACAAACAGAACUUCCUAGCAGUCAGAACUACUCUACUCUAGAAAGAUGGAAAGGCCUAUGUUAAGGGAGUUCCAGAUUAGGCUGCUAUGGUGGUUUGAAUGAGAAUGACCUGAGUAUUUGCUUAAAGACUGAAGCUAAAGUUGAAAUCAAAAAUGUCUAACUCUAUAGGUGGUUGCUUCAGAAUUCCAAAGCAGUUUUCACUCACACAUACUAAUAUAGACUCUACAGGACAUACUAUAAAAACUGGUGUAGGUCUUCCUUCUCUCUAGGGUUGUUGGCAACAGGCCCAUGAGAACAAAGGGAGCAGAGAGACUAACAGAGUUUCAGACAAGCCCUGUGAGUAUGAACGGUAAUAAUGACAAACCAGAACCAGCUUCAGGAAGACAGAUCAACUUCACUUGGAAUGAUCCAAGGGUUAUGUAUUCAGGGUUAAGGAAGAAGAAAUGUCGAGGGUGGGCAAAGGUCAUUGGCUAAAGACUAGGGUACGGGGUACCUCACUAGCAUGGGGAAGGCACUUUAGGCAUCUCAGGGGCUUGCUCUUCAGCUUCUCAUCUGCGGAAAGGAAGCUGAACCUGUAACGUUCUGCAGGUAGA